rnacentral:rRNA from 1 species
AUGAACGCUGGCGGCGUGCCUAAUACAUGCACGUCGAGCGAACAGACGAGGAGCUUGCUCCUCUGACGUUAGCGGCGGACGGGUGAGUAACACGUGGAUAACCUACCUAUAAGACUGGGAUAACUUCGGGAAACCGGAGCUAAUACCGGAUAAUAUAUUGAACCGCAUGGUUCAAUAGUGAAAGACGGUUUUGCUGUCACUUAUAGAUGGAUCCGCGCCGCAUUAGCUAGUUGGUAAGGUAACGGCUUACCGAGGCAACGAUGCGUAGCCGACCUGAGAGGGUGAUCGGCCACACUGGAACUGAGACACGGUCCAGACUCCUACGGGAGGCAGCAGUAGGGAAUCUUCCGCAAUGGGCGAAAGCCUGACGGAGCAACGCCGCGUGAGUGAUGAAGGUCUUCGGAUCGUAAAACUCUGUUAUUAGGGAAGAACAAAUGUGUAAGUAACUAUGCACGUCUUGACGGUACCUAAUCAGAAAGCCACGGCUAACUACGUG